rnacentral:lncRNA from 1 species
UGGUGCCUCUACAAUGGGUUUUGAGUUUGAUCUGAUCAAAUCUGGUUCUAUGGAUUCACUAGAUUAUGUCGGUUCUUUUAUCUGUCGAGCUUCAUAAGUUUUACAUUAAAGGCAUCAGUAUCUUCAUCUUCUGAAAGGAAUACCAAACAACUCUUUUUCUUUAGCAUGGUAGAAGUAUAUCCCCUAGAUUCUUUAGGAUUAUUCUACAA